rnacentral:rRNA from 1 species
UAAGGAGCUUGCUCCUUUGAGUUAGCGGCGGACGGGUGNNNAACACGUGGGUAACCUACCUAUAAGACUGGAAUAACUUCGGGAAACCGGAGCUAAUGCCGGAUAACAUAUAGAACCGCAUGGUUCUAUAGUGAAAGAUGGUUUUGCUAUCACUUAUAGAUGGACCCGCGCCGUAUUAGCUAGUUGGUAAGGUAAUGGCUUACCAAGGCGACGAUACGUAGCCGACCUGAGAGGGUGAUCGGCCACACUGGAACUGAGACACGGUCCAGACUCCUACGGGAGGCAGCAGUAGGGAAUCUUCCGCAAUGGGCGAAAGCCUGACGGAGCAACGCCGCGUGAGUGAUGAAGGUUUUCGGAUCGUAAAACUCUGUUAUUAGGGAAGAACAAAUGCGUAAGUAACUGUGCGCAUCUUGACGGUACCUAAUCAGAAAGCCACGGCUAACUACGUGCCAGCAGCCGCGGUAAUACGUAGGUGGCAAGCGUUAUCCGGAAUUAUUGNGCGUAAAGCGCGCGUANGCGGUUUCUUAAGUCUGAUGUGAAAGCCCACGGCUCAACCGUGGAGGGUCAUUGGAAACUGGGAAACUUGAGUGCAGAAGANGAAAGUNNNUUCCAUGUGUAGCGGUGAAAUG